AGUGAACGCUGGCGGUGGGCCUAACACAUGCAAGUCGAACGGCAGCACAGUAAGAGCUUGCUCUUACGGGUGGCGAGUGGCGGACGGGUGAGGAAUACAUCGGAAUCUACUUUUUCGUGGGGGAUAACGUAGGGAAACUUACGCUAAUACCGCAUACGACCUACGGGUGAAAGCAGGGGAUCUUUGGACCUUGCGCGAUUGAAUGAGCCGAUGUCGGAUUAGCUAGUUGGCGGGGUAAAGGCCCACCAAGGCGACGAUCCGUAGCUGGUCUGAGAGGAUGAUCAGCCACACUGGAACUGAGACACGGUCCAGACUCCUACGGGAGGCAGCAGUGGGGAAUCUUGGACAAUGGGCGCAAGCCUGAUCCAGCCAUACCGCGUGGGUGAAGAAGGCCUUCGGGUUGUAAAGCCCUUUUGUUGGGAAAGAAAAGCAGCAGGUUAAUACCCCGCUGUUCUGACGGUACCCAAAGAAUAAGCACCGGCUAACUUCGUG
rnacentral:rRNA from 1 species